GACAGAGGCCUCAAGCGUUAGGCGGAAUCACUGGGCUUAAAGCGUGUGUAGGCGGAUCGUUAAGUGUCUUGUGAAAUCCCACGGCUCACCCGUGGAACUGCUGGGCAUACUGGCGAUCUUGGGCCAACUAGGGGCAACUGGAACAAGCGGUGGAGCGGUGAAAUGCGUAGAUAUCUGGAGGAACACCGGUGGCGAAGGCGGCAUCCUGGACCAACACUGACACUGAGGAGCGAAAGCCAGGGGAGCAAACGGG
rnacentral:rRNA from 1 species